rnacentral:rRNA from 1 species
ACGGUAACAUUUCUAGCUUGCUAGUAAGAUGACGAGUGGCGGACGGGUGAGUAAUGCUUGGGAACUUGCCUUUGCGAGGGGGAUAACAGUUGGAAACGACUGCUAAUACCGCAUAAUGUCUUCGGACCAAACGGGGCUUCGGCUCCGGCGCAAAGAGAGGCCCAAGUGAGAUUAGCUAGUUGGUAAGGUAACGGCUUACCAAGGCGACGAUCUCUAGCUGUUCUGAGAGGAAGAUCAGCCACACUGGGACUGAGACACGGCCCAGACUCCUACGGGAGGCAGCAGUGGGGAAUAUUGCACAAUGGGGGAAACCCUGAUGCAGCCAUGCCGCGUGUGUGAAGAAGGCCUUCGGGUUGUAAAGCACUUUCAGUUGUGAGGAAAAGUUAGUAGUUAAUACCUGCUAGCCGUGACGUUAACAACAGAAGAAGCACCGGCUAACUCCGUGCCAGCAGCCGCGGUAAUACGGAGGGUGCGAGCGUUAAUCGGAAUUACUGGGCGUAAAGCGCACGCAGGCGGUUUGUUAAGCUAGAUGUGAAAGCCCCGGGCUCAACCUGGGAUGGUCAUUUAGAACUGGCAGACUAGAGUCUUGGAGAGGGGAGUGGAAUUCCAGGUGUAGCGGUGAAAUGCGUAGAUAUCUGGAGGAACAUCAGUGGCGAAGGCGACUCCCUGGCCAAAGACUGACGCUCAUGUGCGAAAGUGUGGGUAGCGAACAGGAUUAGAUACCCUGGUAGUCCACACCGUAAACGCUGUCUACUAGCUGUGUGUGCCUUUAAGACGUGCGUAGCGAAGCUAACGCGCUA